CCUACGGGAGGCAGCAGUGAGGAAUAUUGGUCAAUGGCCAGAAGGCUGAACCAGCCAAGCCGCGUGAAGGACGAAGGUGCCAAGCAUUGUAAACUUCUUUUGUCAAGGGACAAAAUCAGGCUCGAGAGCCUGACCGAGGGUACUUGAAGAAAAAGCAUCGGCUAACUCCGUGCCAGCAGCCGCGGUAAUACGGAGGAUGCGAGCGUUAUCCGGAUUUAUUGGGUUUAACGGGUGCGUAGUCGGUCUGUUAAGUCAGCGGGAAAAGCCCGGGGCUCAACCCCGGCGAGCCGUUGAUACUGGCUGUCUUGAGAUGUCGAGAGGUAUGCGGAAUGCGCAGUGUAGCGGUGAAAUGCUUAGAUAUUGCGCAGAACUCCGAUUGCGAAGGCAGCAUACCGGCGGCGAUCUGACGCUGAGGCACGAAAGCGUGGGUAUCGAACAGGAUUAGAUACCCUAGUAGUC
rnacentral:rRNA from 1 species